GAAAGCCGUAGGGUUGUGGGCAAGCGAUGGCCGCUGUGUCUGUAGUUACACCAGCACGUGAGAGUGGGGCUAACAGGCUCCUUCAUACGUGUUUAUUCAACACGUAUUUAUUGAACUCGUUCUUACGCCAGGUGUUCCUGACUCUCCAGACAUUGAGGCCUACAUGCUUUCCCGCUGUUGCUGGGGUAACAUACUGUAUAGAGAAUCUGGGCCACAUUGGGAUAUGACCACGGCACACAGAAAACAGGGAGGGAUUCAAAGACCUAGGAGAGAGCAUCUGAGUGAAGGAGCAGACCCCCUUGCUGUCCUGGGACCUUGAGAAGAAGGACCAGGGCACUUCUGCUCCUGCAGAAGAAGUCCCUGGAUCCACCAGCAUCACCUUCAGUGGGAGAGAGAUUUUUGCCACAUGUUGCUGUGUGAUUUCAAGUUAUUCCUUGAAAGGCUAGAAAAUUUACUUUUCAUCAUUAAUACGUUGCCGUUGGGACUUGAAAAGGAUGAGCCUGAAUGCUGUGUGAUUGUUAGAAUCACUGGUACAACCAGCAGAGACUGAUCUCGAGACAAGCAUCUUCAAUGGAGGAGAAACUAAAGACUGGAGGGCACGAACUCCACAAUUGUAGAGGUGUUCUCUCCAGCUCAAAACAACGGUGCAUUGACUGGACAGAAACGCCAAUUGCUAGCACUAAGCCCUGCCGAGUGAACAGGGGAAUUCAAAGAGGCCUGCACUAUGGAAACUGGCACAUUUCAACAGUGUUAAAAUUUACAGUCAACUUUUUUUUUUUCCAGUUUAAAAUGGUUUCCAGCAUCUUCAAACAGCAACUGGUAUAAAAUUUUGAAUAUGUGCUUGUUUUAAGUUCUUAAUCUUUACAUUUAAAACAGUUAUUCCUAAACCCCUUUGCUUAAUUGCAAAACAAAU
rnacentral:lncRNA from 1 species